UCCUGGGUCCUAGUGCUGGCCGGGUUCCGGCCGUGCCGUCCUGCGCCUGCGCGCCGGUCACGCAGGGUUCCCCUUUCCCCGCCGGCUCCGGCGCGCAGGGCUGGGUUCCUGUCCCCCGCUGACCUUCCCCGCGAGGCACGGGGCCGCGGUCCCCGUGGCUGAGAGUGCAGGGAUCAAAGCUCAUCUGAAUGUGACCUGGAAUACCAUUAAUCCCAGCACCCCAAUUCCAGAGAUACUUCCUCUCCUAAUUGUGGUACGGCUAGUUAAUUUGGAGUUCGCUUGAGGACCUCGUGCUGAAAUCUGCCACCUGCCACGAACCUGAGAAAAUCCAGAACAAAGGGAACUGCAGUUAUUUGAGAUAUUGCUGCUCACUCAUCCACAGCAUUGAGCCCAGGAUCUUUGGGAUCUGAAGAGACUGGAAAUGCUGUUCUGCAGCUGGAGGGAUCUAAUCCAGUGCAAAAUGAGACCCUAUACUUUACUGUGGCAAAUUCAUGCAUGUGAGAUAACAAUUAAAGACUAUUGUCAUGGGACAGGUACGCCCAGACCCCUCCGAAUCAGGGCGUUGAGCCUAUCAGGAUCCUAAAUACGUGCACCACCCCAUGAGUGGUACCAACCCCAAUACUCCCAUACAGGAGUUCAACCUAGCAGACAGACAAAGUCAGUAGCAGGGCCCAGCAGCCUAAGUUAAUAGUAAGUCCCAGUUCCCCAGGCCUGGUGGCCAAGGUUAAUAACAAUCCCCUAUUCACAAAGCAAUAGGGCCCAGCAGCCCGAGUCUACAACAGCCCUCGAUUCGUGGGGUAGUAAGGACUGGUGGCCAAUGUCAAUAGUCCCAGUGGUAGCAUCCCCUUAGGGUAGAAAGAAAGUGGGGUAGAGCAACCCGGGCCAUCCCUCUCCACCAGGUCCCAGCCCACUGUGAGUGGUGGGCACGCCCUACCAUUAGCUCAGCGGGGAAUCUACCCACAACAUGCUGAGGUGAAUUUCUCCUCUUAACAGGGAUUCCAAAAAGGACUAUUGACACACUUCUAUUUUUCUAAUACUGCACUCACAUCUAGUAUUUUGAGGCCUUCGGAUGGAGGAGAACCAAUCUGGGUUUUUAUAAGUAAUAUUAGAGAUGGGCCCAAACCAAAAACCUCAGAUUUGACUCCAAGGCUCUGCAAGGUUAGGGACAUUUGGAUCUGUCAUUUUACUUUGGGCUCAGUUCUAAUUAUAUUUGAGGCUGAGUAAUAUAUAAUAUAUAACUUAGGUUCAUUUUACAGUGAAGAAAUAUAAAUCCAGACAAAAAUGCCCCAAAUUCUUCUCACCAAUAUAAAUGCCAAAGAGCACUAUUGGAAGUUCAAAUCUGCUUUCAUUUAUGGCAUAAGAGUGAUGCCACUGAAGUCAGCGAAUUUACACAGUUGUAAAAAUCAGUGAAAGUGAAAGAAAAAUCCAGCCAUUAAAAUUUCUUAAGUGGGCUCUCCUCAGACCCCAUCAGAAGAUCUGUGCAGACUAGGACUGAUAAGUGAUUUUUAAAAUUGAGAUUACUCGCACAAUUAAAAAAUUAAAUUGUGGUUAAUCAUGCAACUAAUCAAAUUUUAAACAAUACAAUGCUAUUAAAUAUUUUGGAUAUUUUCUACAUUUUUAAAUAUAUUGAUUUUGAUUACAACACAA